rnacentral:lncRNA from 10 species
GUGGAACCUUGGCAUUGCCUAACUCUCACAAGACUUUUUGCAGGACCGAAUAAUUCCUAGCUUCUAUUAUCAUAGGCAUGCAUAGCAGGUACCUAGGCCUGUGGUGACCCCGGCAGCAACUCCAAGUGACUUACCCACAUACCCCAAACCCUGCUGUGAUUCUGCUUCCCACAAAAGCAGCCUGCACAGGGCCCUUCUCAGUGCACAGAUGUCCAGCUCCAUGGGAGGGCCUCUGGCAGCCAGAAAGAGGAGGAAGGAGAGAAGGAAGGGGAAGUGGUCAUGCAUAUACGGGGACCUUACCAACUCCUGCAGGCCGUGCAGCCUCAGCAAAUCACACCAGGAGAAGGAGUCCUGCUUCCUCAGGACUAAAAAGAAGACCAAAGAGCAACUGUUCACAGCAGGCCAAGUUUACAAAACGGUGGUGGAGAAAAUGAAUAAUUUACGAGGAUGAAUGCAAGGCCAUGUGAAGUGAUCUCUAUACACACAGGAAGGUACCACAGGAAGCCAACAGUGAAUGUCUGGAGCCCAACACUGUGCCAGGCCCCACAGGGCACACUCUGGAGCUGGUAAAGGUGGAGCAGCACUGCCAGGAGUUGGGAGCUCAGUCUCUAGACUCACACAGACCUGAGCUCACACCUAAGUUCUCCACUUGUAAGCUGUGUGGCCCAGGACAAGUUCAUUAACCUCUCUGGGCCUCAAUUCCUCAUCUGUAAAACGAGGAUACUUAUUUGGGAU